rnacentral:tRNA from 13 species
GAAUCGGUAGCGCAACGGUAGCGCGUCUGACUCCAGAUCAGAAGGCUGCGUGUUCAAAUCACGUCCGGUUCA